rnacentral:rRNA from 1 species
GACGAACGCUGGCGGCGUGCCUAAUACAUGCAAGUAGAACGCAGUUGCGAACGGGUGAGUAACGCGUAGGUAACUGCCUCAUAGCGGGGGAUAACUAUUGGAAACGAUAGCUAAUAACGCAUACUGUGAGAUGGACCUGCGUUGUAUUAGCUAGUUGGUGAGGUAAAGGCUCACCAAGGCGACGAUACAUAGCCGAGCUGGGAGGGUGAACCGCCAACCUUGGACUUGGGAACGGGCCAAACCCCUACGGGAGGCAGGCGUUGGGAAAUUUCGGACAAUGACGGAAAGCUGGAUGAGGCCAGCCGCGGGAUAGAAGAAGGGUCUUCGGUCUUAAAGGUACGUUGUGCGGGAAGCGGUAACCGCCGAGAAAGCGCCGGCUAACUCCGUGCCAGCAGCCGCGGUAAUAC